UACGUAGGGUGCAAGCGUUGUCCGGAAUUACUGGGCGUAAAGGGUGCGCAGGCCGCGCGGGCAGUCAAAUGUGUAAUCCAGGGGCUUAACCCCUGAACUGCGCUUGAUACUUCCGCGCUCGAGCUUUGGAGAGGAGUCUGGAAUUCUCGGUGUAGCAGUGAAAUGCGUGGAUAUCGAGAAGAACACUUAGGGCGAAGGCAAGACUCUGGACAAAUGCUGACGCUCAUGCACGAAGGCUAGGGUAGCGAACGGG
rnacentral:rRNA from 1 species